GGUGCAUUAGCUCAGUUGGUUAGUGCACAGUGUUAAUAAUGCUAGGGUUGAGGGUUUGAUCCCCAUAUAGGCCA